GCUGGGCGUGGUUGAUGCACUCCUUUAAUCACAGAUAUCAGUGAGGCUGAAGCUGGCCCUUUCCUUGAGUUCAGGAGUUGUGAGCUGCAGUGGACUGUGCUAAUUAGGCAUCUACACAGAGUUCAGCAUCAGUAUGGCAACUGACCCCUUCCCCUGGGGAAAGGAAGUGUGCUAGGUUGCUUAAUAGGAGCCAUUUAACCCAGGUUAGAAACAGAGCAGGUCAAAAAAGCUCAUUAAUGGGAUCAGCUUUAUAAAUAGCCCUUGCGCUUUCAGCCUGGGCAAGACAGGGAGACCCAGUCUUUU
rnacentral:SRP_RNA from 1 species